GAUGAACGCUGGCGGCGUGCCUAAUACAUGCAAGUCGAGCGAACGGACGAGAAGCUUGCUUUUCUGAUGUUAGCGGCGGACGGGUGAGUAACACGUGGAUAACCUACCUAUAAGACUGGGAUAACUUCGGGAAACCGGAGCUAAUACCGUAUAAUAUUUUGAACCGCAUGGUUCAAAAGUGAAAGACGGUCUUGCUGUCACUUAUAGAUGGAUCCGCGCUGCAUUAGCUAGUUGGUAAGGUAACGGCUUACCAAGGCAACGAUGCAUAGCCGACCUGAGAGGGUGAUCGGCCACACUGGAACUGAGACACGGUCAAGACUCCUACGGGAGGCAGCAGUAGGGAAUCUUCCGCAAUGGGAGAAAGCCUGACGGAGCAACGCCGCGUGAGUGAUGAAGGUCUUCGGAUCGUAAAACUCUGUUAUUAGGGAAGAACAUAUGUGUAAGUAACUGUGCACAUCUUGACGGUACCUAAUCAGAAAGCCACGGCUAACUACGUG
rnacentral:rRNA from 1 species